rnacentral:rRNA from 1 species
UACAGAGGUCUCGAGCGUUAGGCGGAAUCACUGGGCUUAAAGCGUGUGUAGGCGGAUCGGUAAGUACCUUGUGAAAUCCCACAGCUUAACUGUGGAACUGCUUGGUAUACUGCCAGUCUUGAGCCAGCUAGGGGCUACCGGAACAAAUGGUGGAGCGGUGAAAUGCGUAGAUAUCAUUUGGAACGCCAAUGGUGAAAACAGGUAGCUGGGGCUGUGCUGACGCUGAGACACGAAAGCGUGGGGAGCAAACAGG